rnacentral:other from 1 species
AAUUCCCUGCGUGGUACGUGUAAACUGAAAUUUUAGAACCAACAGUUAAAGGAAUAGGAACUUAUUCUUCGAAUAUGGCGUGCAUGCUUAAAUUAUAUUUAAGAAGCCCAUGAAUAUUCGAGUGAGUCCCGCCCUGUGUAAGAGCAGGUCCUUAAAAUUUCACUAGAUUACGGCUAAUGUGGGGC